UGGGAGAGAAGAAAGCAGGAGUCUGAGGAACCAGCAGAGGCUUCUCAGCAGUUGAAAGGAGGAAGAGGCCUGUUGAGGGCACAUGGAGACACGGGACCUAUAGCCACAGGAUCCCCUGGGUGAGGGCAGCACUGAGCAAGCACCGGUGUCUGCUGGGUGUGCCCACGUGCUCAUCAGUCCUGCAGAGAUGUGUCAGGGGCUUGCCGUGUGCCCGCAGCACCACCGGGGCUGCGGAGGCUCUCCUCCCUCCUGAGCCCUCGGAGCAGCGGCCACCCUGACGGGACAUGGACACUACUCCGUAACAUGACCCUGUGCAGCAUCCCCACAGCCGGGCGCUCUUACUGUCCCCAUUUCACAGGUGAAGACACUGAACCAGGACCAGAGGACGUGCCUGGUACCCCAAGGUUGGUCGGCAGUGGGCCAGCACACGCUCCAGGCAGGUGGUGUUCUCUGGAACCCCUGGCUUCCGGAGCGGUUCCCACACCCACACAAACCCAGCAGGGCAACGACGCACUGGCCCAAGCAGCGCCCAGGGGUAGCUCCCUAGGAUGCCCGGAGGUGAGUGAUGAGGUAGAGCUAGGGGUGGCGUCUGGGCUGGGCAGAGGCCCCCCCAGCACCCGGCGUGUGCCCUGCAGCGGACACGGGCCCCAACGCACA